rnacentral:rRNA from 1 species
AGAGUUUGAUCCUGGCUCAGGAUGAACGCUAGCGGCAGGCUUAACACAUGCAAGUCGAGGGGUAACAGGGAGCUUGCUCCGCUGACGACCGGCGCACGGGUGCGUAACGCGUAUAGAACCUACCUUUUACAGGGGGAUAGCCUUUAGAAAUGAAGAUUAACRUCCCAUAGUAUUGCGAGAUGGCAUCAUUUUGUAAUUAAAGAUUUAUCGGUAAAAGAUGGCUAUGCGUCCUAUUAGUUAGUUGGUAAGGUAACGGCUUACCAAGACAUCGAUAGGUAGGGUUCCUGAGAGGGAGAUCCCCCACACUGGUAAUGAGACACGGACCAGAAUCCUACGGGAGGCAGCAGUAAGGAAUAUUGGGCAAUGGAGGAGACUCUGA